GACGAACGCUGGCGGCGUGCCUAAUACAUGCAAGUCGAGCGAAUCAAAGGGAGCUUGCUCCCUGAGGUUAGCGGCGGACGGGUGAGUAACACGUGGGCAACCUGCCUGUAAGACUGGGAUAACUUCGGGAAACCGGAGCCAAUACCGGAUAAUUCCUUUCCUCACAUGCGGAAAGGCUGAAAGACGGGUUACGCUGUCACUUACAGAUGGGCACGCGGCGCAUUAGCUAGUUGGUGAGGUAACGGCUCACCAAGGCAACGAUGCGUAGCCGACCUGAGAGGGUGAUCGGCCACACUGGGACUGAGACACGGCCCAGACUCCUACGGGAGGCAGCAGUAGGGAAUCUUCCGCAAUGGACGAAAGUCUGACGGAGCAACGCCGCGUGAGUGAUGAAGGUUUUCGGGUCGUAAAACUCUGUUGUUAGGGAAGAACAAGUACCGUUCGAAUAGGGCGGUACCUUGACGGUACCUAACCAGAAAGCCACGGCUAACUACGUGCCAGCCGCCGCGGUAAGAC
rnacentral:rRNA from 1 species